rnacentral:rRNA from 1 species
AGCGAACGCUGGCGGCAGGCCUAACACAUGCAAGUCGAACGAACCCUUCGGGGUUAUUGGCGGACGGGUGAGUAACACGUGGGAACGUGCCUUUAGGUUCGGAAUAACUCAGGGAAACGUGUGCUAAUACCGAAUGUGCCCUUCGUGGGAAAGAUUUAUCGCCUUUAGAGCGGCCCGCGUCUGAGUAGCUAGUUGGUGAGGUAAUGGCUCACCAAGGCUACGAUCAGUAGCUGGUCUGAGAGGAUGACCAGCCACAUUGGGACUGAGACACGGCACAAACUCCUACGGGAGGCAGCAGUGGGGAAUCUUGCGCAAUGGGCGAAAGCCUGACGCAGCCAUGCCGCGUGGAUGAUGAAGGUCUUAGGAUUGUAAAAACCUUACACCGGUGAAGAUAAUGACUGUAGCCGGAGAAGAAGCCCCGGCUAACUUCGUGCCAGCCGCCGCAGUAAUAC